UACGACGGGAGCUAGCGUUGCUCGGAAUCACUGGGCGUAAAGCGCACGUAGGCGGCUUUCUAAGUCAGGGGUGAAAUCCCGGAGCUCAACUCCGGAACUGCCUUUGAUACUGGAGAGCUUGUGUUCGGGAGAGGUGAGUGGAGCUGCGAGUGUAGAGGUGAAAUUCGUAGAUAUUCGCAAGAACACCAGUGGCGAAGGCGGCUCACUGGCCCGAUACUGACGCUGAGGUGCGAAAGCGUGGGGCGCAAACAGG
rnacentral:rRNA from 1 species